UGGAAAGAACCAUUGAAGGAGAGAUCAUAAAAACUCAAGACCUGCCGUCGCUGGUCAUCAGCGUCAGUAAAAACCCAAAAGGUUUCAAACUCGCCUGGGACUUCUUGAAAACCAACUGGGAGAAACUUGUGAAAAAGUUUGAUCUCGGUUCGUCUGCGAUAUCUCGCAUGGCGGUCGGAGUGACCGAUCAGUAUUCCACCAGAGAAAUGCUCGAUGAGGUUCAGUCUUUCUUCGGGUCACUAGCGCAGGAUCAGGGCUCUGGGCUCCGCAGCGUUCAACAGGCCCUGCAGAAGAUCCAGCAGAACAUCCGCUGGAUGGACAGGAACGUCCCACUACUGAAAGCCUGGCUGGACAGAAACAGUCUGAUUGAGUCCUGACGAACUCUAGAGACACUUGAAAGUGUGUUUAACAGGGUGUGGAACUCAAGACUGCACCUAGUUUCACCUUGGGUACGGCACUUUACAAGGGCCAUAACACUGAAAGAAACCAGCUCCGAAUAUGAUCAUACAGAACAUGAACAUUUUUGAAAUGGCUGCAACAAAAGAAGUGUCUAAAUAAGUUUUAAAAUAUAAAUGCUAAAUGUCAACUCAAUGAAACCAGCGAUGCACCGAAAUUAGUUUUUACUGAAACACAAAAAACGAAAAUGAAGUGUUCAUUUGGUCAAGA